ensembl:lncRNA
GGAUUAUUCAGCAUCUCAAGCAGCUGCUUGUGUCUGUUAUCAGCUGCUCUGUGUUUCUCACCAGACACUCGCCCGUGUCCAGGUCACAUGACAGGCUGUGGUUGUUGCAGCGGCAGGGGACACAGGGCCGGAUGAGCGGACGCUUUCUGCCCUUCAUAUUGAGCUCAGACACGGCCUGACGGUAAUAUCCUGGAGCACACUCCUGGAACAGAGAGCAUGAUGGGUUUGUGAGUCUGGAUAAAGGACAGGAACUAUCAGACACAUUCUACAUUCAUCAUGAAGGUUUGGUCUGAGAUCUGUCUGUAGAUGAUGAUGAUGAUGAUGAUGAUGAUGAUGACCUGACAGGAGAGUCCAGCGUAUCCCAGCGGACACUCACAGGUCUCCACCAGCCGCGCCACGUCUCCACCCUGAGGAGCCUCAUCCGCCUCCAGAGCCGUGUCCAUCGAGAUAUUAGAGAUCCUGCAGAGAGUUAACGCUCUUAAUUCACGUCUCACUAAUCUGCAGAACUUCUCUCAGAUGUUAGUCUGGAGCCCUGGAAGGUG